UGGGGAAUUUUGGACAAUGGGCGCAAGCCUGAUCCAGCCAUGCCGCGUGCAGGAAGAAGGCCUUCGGGUUGUAAACUGCUUUUGUCAGGGAAGAAAUCCUUUGGGUUAAUACCUCGAAGGGAUGACGGUACCUGAAGAAUAAGCACCGGCUAACUACGUGCCAGCAGCCGCGGUAAUACGUAGGGUGCGAGCGUUAAUCGGAAUUACUGGGCGUAAAGCGUGCGCAGGCGGCUUUGCAAGACAGAUGUGAAAUCCCCGGGCUCAACCUGGGAACUGCAUUUGUGACUGCAAGGCUAGAGUGCGGCAGAGGGAGAUGGAAUUCCGCGUGUAGCAGUGAAAUGCGUAGAUAUGCGGAGGAACACCGAUGGCGAAGGCAAUCUCCUGGGCCUGCACUGACGCUCAUGCACGAAAGCGUGGGGAGCAAACNGGAUUAGAUACCCUGGUAGUCCACGCCCUAAANGAUGUNAACUGGUUGUUGGACGGCUUGCUGUUCAGUAACGAAGCUAACGCGUGAAGUUGACCGCCUGGGGAGUACGGCCGCAAGGUUGAAACGCAAA
rnacentral:rRNA from 1 species